rnacentral:ncRNA from 1 species
AAGCGAGGACGACCUCCCCCGUAACGGGCGAUUUUUCCGGGACGACCCGG